AACGAACGCUGGCGGCGUGCCUAACACAUGCAAGUCGAGCGCGAAUGGGGAAACCCUAGUAGAGCGGCGCACGGGUGCGUAACACGUGGAUAAUCUGCCUGGAUGCCUGGGAUAACCAGUCGAAAGAUUGGCUAAUACCGGAUAAGCCCACGAUUUCUUCGGAGAUUGAGGGAAAAGGUGGCCUCUGUAUACAAGCUAUCACAUCCAGAUGAGUCCGCGGCCCAUCAGCUAGUUGGCGGGGUAAUGGCCCACCAAGGCAACGACGGGUAGCUGGUCUGAGAGGACGAUCAGCCACACUGGAACUGAGACACGGUCCAGACUCCUACGGGAGGCAGCAGUGGGGAAUUUUGCGCAAUGGGCGAAAGCCUGACGCAGCAACGCCGCGUGUGUGAUGAAGGUCUUUGGAUUGUAAAGCACUUUCGACCGGGACGAAAACCCGGAGCCUAAUACGCUCCGGCUUGACGGUACCGGGAGAAGAAGCACCGGCUAACUCUGUGCCA
rnacentral:rRNA from 1 species